rnacentral:lncRNA from 1 species
CUCAGGGCAAGGUUAGCUGAGCAGGAGAAUCUGCUCCAAAGGGCAGCUGAGCGUCUGCAGGACACCUGCCGCCUGAAGGACAACAUGGAGCACUUCAUCGUCAGCCACUUGACCCAAACUCAUGCCGUGCUGAGGAAAGCAAGGACAAACCUGGAGAAGAGCAAGCCCCAAGGCUCCUCUGUCAAAUCUCCUCCCUUCAUCGGUGCAGGGGAAAUCUCAGUGGGCUUGUCCCAGCACCCGAGCCACGUGAUCCCGACCAACCAGGAGCACAGAAGGAAGAGGAGCUGCCCAGACACCCUAAAGUGGCAGGAGGACCAGAGCUGGCCCUGCUUUGUCCACCUUCCCAGCUCCUGAGCACCAACCCUGGCUGAAACAGCUGCUGGGCAGGGCUCAGCAAGAACUGGGUGUGUGGCUCUGGUGCUGAACUCCUCUGCAUGGAAGCUACCCAUAGACUGUUUUAGGCUUGACCCCUGGGCUAGCACCAGCCCUGUCUGGUACUACACUGCCAGGGAGCCAUGCUCAUUUGAUUAAUCACUGUUAAACUAUAGGAAAUGUAGCCAGGGUAACUGGUGAAGCUGCUUUCCCAGUGAUCUCACCAUCCCCUAGCAUGGCCCAUCAUCCUGCUGCCACGCUCUCUGCUGUGGAACUUCACAGCCAUGCAUGUGCGUUAGACUGGUACUCUGCCACUGCCCAUGGGCAAGUGGCCUCCAGCCAGCUGCUGAGUCCAUGCAAGUGGCAGACGGUGCAGGUGGCUGCUCUAGUGGCCUGCAGCAUCCUGCUUGUGAGCUGGUUUCCUCCCAAACAGGGCUAUUGAUGCAGCUGUAAUUUAGGGGUGGUAGGUUCCAUCCCUGCUCUGGGGAAAACAAGCCCUAGAGAGGAGCACUUGUUUCUGUUGCUUGCCAAUACAGCAUGGCUUUGCCUGCAAGUCCUUCAUGCUGGAACUGGUGCAUUGCAGGGCGGUCAGGCUGCUUUCACCCUUCUCCGCUGGGACCUUCACCCAUUUGUUUGGUGAUAAGCAAUUUCUGAGGCAAUAUAACCAAAGUGUCAAAUCCUUGUAAGCCAGAGCUGAACUGUUGCUCCCCCCCAGGGGCACUGAUGAGCGACACACUCAGCUUAGGCCUGCUUUGGGGGGAACCAUUUAUAAAGCAGCAUUGGAAAGGCCCUCAGCUUGGCCAGCUUUGACUGGGGUGAGGCUCUGCUGUAGGCUAUGUAUAUAGUGACUGAGUGUAACCCGGGGGGAGUGAUGGGGCCCUGGACCAAGGCAGGCCUCCCAUGGGGCCAACAUGGCUCUAACUUUGGGAAGAAAUGAAGUUGUAAGAAAUGCAGGGCUCCCUCUCGGAGGGGGUCCCCAAUAAACUUUUUUUGGCCAUUGCCUACUGUAUCCUUUGGCUCUAAGGACCUUAAUGAAUAGUGGCAGGUCAGCGCUGCUUCCCUUCCACUAGGACCCAGGCUGCUCCCACAGCUCUGUCAGUGUAGGCUGCUGAGAGGCUGGCAGCCUCACCUAGCCAUUCCCAUGGGGAGGGGGUGCACUACCAUCACUGUGACAAGGACACCAGUGGGAAGAGCUUGGCACCCUGCCCCACAGGCCUGGCUGGCUGGCUUUCCCUUGCAGUGACCUGCCCUCCCAUGAGCCUGGCCUCCCUGCAGCACCUUAGUAAGGCCAUGCUGGCAGGAAGGGGGGAGUGUGGGCCACAUGUGUCACAGGGGCAGCCACAGCCCUGAUACUGGACACACCCAGGGCCAACCAUCUCAAACCACACAAAUGGCUGGCCUGGGUCCACAGUGCAGCCCCUCUUCCUUGGCAUGCAGACAGGGCCGCACAGUUGAGGUCCUACCACCUCGGUAACAAACUUUAUUAGUCACAUUGCUUGGGCCAAAGCCUUAGCCUGGCUUUAUGAGUUACAUCAAAUCAGCAAGGGAGCCUGGCACCGGUGGUGCCCCUCCUACCCCCAAGUCCAGGCCUCUACCCCCACACCAGGGACAGCAGCAAGAAGCUGCCCUUGCCUCAGUGCUGACUGCCUGAGCAGUAGGCCAAACCCUGGGCACAAGAGCCCCUAGUUCCAAGAACCCCCUCACCACAGACGUGUUCAGCAGUAAACAGCUGUGCAGGCUGUUAUCUGAAAGGGCUGGCUGAGGCUGACCUCACAC